GUUUGCAUGGCCCCUGGGCAAGGAUGACACACAAAUUCACAAAGUAUCUCAUAUUUUU
rnacentral:snRNA from 1 species